rnacentral:rRNA from 1 species
GAUGAACGCUGGCGGCGUGCCUAAUACAUGCAAGUCGAGCGAACAGACGAGGAGCUUGCUCCUCUGACGUUAGCGGCGGACGGGUGAGUAACACGUGGAUAACCUACCUAUAAGACUGGGAUAACUUCGGGAAACCGGAGCUAAUCCCGGAUAAUAUAUUGAACCGCAUGGUUCAUUAGUGAAAGACGGUUUUGCUGUAACUUAUAGAUGGAUCCCCGCCGCAUUAGCUAGUUGGUAAGGUAACGGCUUACCAAGGCAACGAUGCGUAGCCGACCUGAGAGGGUGAUCGGCCACACUGGAACUGGGACACGGUCCAGACUCCUACGGGAGGCAGCAGUAGGGAAUCUUCCGCAAUGGGCGAAAGCCUGACGGAGCAACGCCGCGUGAGUGAUGAAGGUCUUCGGAUCGUAAAACUCUGUUAUUAGGGAAGAACAAAUGUGUAAGUAACUAUGCACGUCUUGACGGUACCUAAUCAGAAAGCCACGGCUAACUACGUG